GCUGAUAUGGCUCAGUGGUAGAGCGCACCCUUGGUAAGGGUGAGGUCCCCAGUUCGACUCUGGGUAUCAGCACCA
rnacentral:tRNA from 1 species